GCUUAGCUCAGUUGGUUAGAGUGAUCGCUUAAUUAGCGGAUAUCUUGAGUUCGACUCUCAACAAGAGCA
rnacentral:tRNA from 1 species